UGUAUAUUUUGUGUUUACUCGUGUGUGUGUGUGUGUGCGUGCGCACACACACACACAUACAUAUAUAACC
rnacentral:miRNA from 1 species